UCUAUCCUCCGGGUGAGUGUACAAGAGAUGUGUACCCACAUGCGGACUUGAAAUCAGUGGCCAUCAUGUGACAGGACCUCAGAGAGCAUUGGGGGCCACAGGGGUUGAUGGGUGAGGGGGCAGGCCAGCAUAACAGGGCAUCCCAGAGCCCACAAGGUGAGUAUGCAAGAGAGUGGGCAUGGGUAGGCCAGGGACAAGAGACGGCUCGCCAGGGGCUGGUGGGAAGGUGAGCAAGGGGUGUAUAACCACGUAUAACCAAGAUGUUCCAGCGUGCAACAGCGUGGGUGUGGUUGCAACAGAACUGUAAGGACACACUAGAGCUCCUAGGUGAGUGUGUAAGUGGCAGGCAUGGAGCUCAACCGUGCGAGGGCACAGCGAGGCUGCUGCACGUAUGAGGGGUGUACGGGCCAAAUCUGCAAGAGGUGGGCAGGGGAGACCGGGGGACGUGCAAGGGUACAGCAGGGCCUUUGAAAAUGUGUGCAAAAGGGUGGGCACGGGCUUGCAUGAGCGGAGCAGGACCCCCACCCCCACCCCCCGCACCUGUAGGCUCCGGGCGUGCGAGGAGCAUGCGCCGAAGCCCGGGGAGGCCAGCAUGCACGGGCGCAGGCGUGCCCACCUGAGGCAUCUCCCACUGGGUGCGGUUGGUCUCCGAGAUCUCGAAGUAGAUCCGCUCGAUGCGGCGCGAGGCGCCCAUGAUCUCGAUGCGGCCCAGGUAGGGCCGGAAGUACUCCAGGAUGCUCUCCGCCAGCUCGAGGAAGUUGCGCAGGCGCGGGUCGUGGGGCACGUGCUCGGACAGGUUGGUUAGCAGCACCGCCACGUUGAAGCCGAUGUCGCGGGCCGGCUCCUGGAAGCGGUUGGCGAACUCCUCACAGUUGAUCAUCUCGUUCUCAUCCGCCUCAGAGCAGGAAAGCAGGAACUGGAUUUCGGGGCCUGUGAACUGCUUCUGGCUGUCCAUCGCCUGGGGGCGGGGGAUCAGCGGGCCCUUUUGUGCUGCCUCCGCCCCUUUCUAGCAACUACGUGAUUGACGCUGACACAGUGGAGGGCUCCGAUUUUCAAGUGGAAACAGUCAUGUGCCCAUCACCCCGAAUUAACAAUUGCUCAUUCUCACGUGUUCCUCAAAUACCACAUAUUAGGAACUAAAACAUUACAGGGAUGAGACUACUGUCAUUCUGCAAUCUCGACAGCACUGCUCUCUCUGGGUGGCGAACAUCAGGAGCUGCUGACCUCGCCGAAGGACAGACCCCAGGAGAGGACGUGCCUCCUGAGAGGGUGCCCCGCAGAGGGUGUGCUGGCAAAGCCAGCACAUACACCCAGACCUGAACCUGAUGCGCUUCUUGACCGAAGUCUCAGUUUACAGGAAACACAGGGGAAGGAGGAACACGCGACAUGACACUGCAAGGUUGCUUCAGCCGGAUCAAAACUGUGGGAAACUCUACAAACGGACAGGCACUUUCUAAUGAUGGCCAAGGGCCACGUGCAUCUGCUGAGCCCUUGAAUCACGGCUGGUGCAGACUGAGAGGUGCUUUAAGUACAAAAUACACACCAGGCUUCAAAGACUCAGCACAAGAAAAGAGAAUAAAAUAUUGGAUAACUUUUUAUACCGAUUCCAUGUUAAAAUAAUGUUUUGGAUAUACUAGUUACAUAAAAUACAUUGUUGAAAAUGA